ensembl:lncRNA novel transcript
GAUUUAUAUAAGGUUGUGUAAUCCACAAAUACGCUCAUGUGCAUCAUCUCACUUUAGGAAGAACUCCUGAACAAUUGAUGAUAGAGUGAGCUGCCAGGCAUGUUUAAGCAUAGACUAAUGAAUCCACUAGACUAGAUGAACUUAAAGAUUGUGUCCAACUCAGGCUGUGAAUCAACCUAGAGGUGCUUCCAAGUCAGCUUCUAAACUGAGAGGAAACAGGGAACAAACGCAAUAACACCUGCAUCAAUUCAUCCUUGUGUGUCUCCGUUUAUACUUUUGAAAAAGGAAAAAAGUGAAAAGACAAGUUUGUCUUUACCACAUGGGGAACUGGUUGAGUUAGACAUCUCAUCCUUUAAGAUAUUCAAGGGGAUAUUGGCUGCCUGUCUUCCUGGGGAAUUCUGCACUGGGUAAGAAGAUGGACCACAUGCCCUGAGGUUCCUUCUAACACCAAGACUAAGGGAAAGCUGUAUUUUAUACUUGGCUCUACUACUUUCUACACUGACUUUGAGAGAGCCUUGUUUUUCACUCUCUGGACCUCAAUUAUCUUUCCUAUUACAGGAAGGUAUUGGACUCUGUGACCUUUAAGAGUUUUAGAGAACUCACAUUCUAAAAUUAUAAGAUUUUAUAAAGAAUAUGUGGAAGCUUCAUUCUUCCACAUUCUCUAAGAAAAAUUGAUCCUGAGUUCUGGUCCUAGUGAGAUUAUGGUGGCAGUGUAGUUUCUUAAUCUUUUCAAAACUCCUCCAGAAAACCAAACAGAAAAUUAGAAAUAGUGUAAAAAUAUGCCUAGAUUAUAUAUUUUUAAAUACUAGGUGAUAGGAAACAUCUCUAAACCCUACAGUACUGCUGUAGUCAAAACCACAUGUAGAAAUGGCACCUAAAGGCAAUCCGCUGUGGAGUCGUGGCAGCAACUGAGCAGGGUAGAAACACUGGGGUUCAGAUGGUGCGAGGUGGCAGAAACAGGAAAAGAGAGUGGUGGGCUCAAUGCAAACCUUUGACAAGCCCUGUAAGCUAUAGAACCCAAGAUCACCCAUGAAGACUCACCCUUAAAAGAAGGCCUAAUCUGGAAUAAAAAUCUGUGUGGACAAGCCUGAGAAUAACUGUGAAACUACUAUUCCGAUAUGCUCAGAGUUGCAAGUGAAAGCAGGAGCCUGCAGACAGCAUCACAAGAGACCUGAGAGUGAGGCAGUAGAGCAAACCCUGGAUGAUUGCCAAAAUAUCCAAUAAUAUCCUUUUCCAGAGGGGAAAACCGCCAGAAGCAGACACGUUGAGCCGGGCAGUAACUCUGGACAGUUGAGAUGCUUCUAAGGACUAGAUAAGGCAAACUGUGACGCAGAAAGAUAAUUAUGCAGACUGCUAGAGUUAUUGCUGGAAGUGCUUCAAGUUCUCAGCCUGAAAGUUGUCUUCACAGACCAUCGUACUCAUACUCUGACUUCUAGAUGGGGUAAUGGGGAAGCCAGAUUUCUAAACUGCUUUGCUGAUUUGAUCUGGGGCCCUGGAGUGCCAACAUCCUGUGAUAGCGGCUGAUUGUUGAUGCCUGGGAGGAUACAGCAGUGACGAUCCAAAUUUACAAGACUCAACAUGGUUUUCAAAACUUCCUUUUAAAAAAGAUGUUCCUGAGUUCUGGAAUCUGAACAAAAUAUGUCUGGUUAUUAUAUAAUUCUAAUGGUCCUUGUGGAUGCUACCAUUAGAGUUCAGUUAGUGUCUCAUCUAUCACUGUAAUAUUUGUAUUGUAACACUAAUCGUGGCAAAGUAUGAUUUGAUAAAUGCUCAUUCUCAAAUCUUUU